GAUGAAGAACGCAGCGAAAUGCGAUAAGUAGUGUGAAUUGCAGAAUUCAGUGAAUCAUCGAAUCUUUGAACGCACAUUGCGCCCCUUGGUAUUCCAUGGGGCAUGCCUGUUCGAGCGUCAUUUGUACCUUCAAGCUCUGCUUGGUGUUGGGUGUUUGUCUCGCCUCUGCGUGUAGACUCGCCUCAAAACAAUUGGUAGCCGGCGUAUUGAUUUCGGAGCGCAGUACAUCUCGCGCUUUGCACUCAUAACGACGACGUCCAAAAGUACAUUUUUACACUCUUGACCUCGGAUCAGGUAGGGAUACCCGCUGAACUUAAGCAUAUCAAUAAGCGGAGGA
rnacentral:misc_RNA from 1 species